GUCUCAAAUCUCAAAGCACUCGCUAAAAUUUCUCCUUCUGGCCAUCGUCUCCAAUCUCUCCGUUUCCGACGUGGCUGAUAUGAUCUUAAAUGAGCUGUGUCUGGUACAAUCUCCCGCCACUGUUUCAUCGGAGUCUAGGAAUUCGAUUUCCGGCGGUAAUGCCGGAAUUCGAUGAACGUCUAAUUCGAUGAAGGUUCGUGGAAUUGGAUGUAAUGGUUGAAUUGGAUGAACGGCUUAAUUGGAUAAACCCUAAAUCCGAUUUCCAAUUAGAAGUCUUACUCAAAUAUAGAGACCAAUGCUGGAUUCAAGACGUAGAUAACAGCUUCACUCUCUUUGUCACUGAUACUUUACCAUUGACUCUGAGUCUCUGAACAAGGAAUGACUAGAAAUGUGAGCAACAUAGGAACUUGGGCAGACGACUCUUUGUUGAUUGGUGAUCGUGUUCAUAACUCGGCAUCUCAGUUUCUUGGAAGCUGGCAAUCUGCGGCCGUGAUGGUACCUAAAAAAGAAGGAAGGUUAUGUAGAGACUUAAUAAACCAUAGUAGAGAGAAUGAGAGAUGGGUCAAGACUAGAAUAUUCAUUCACCUCUUUGUUUAGUCUCCCUUUAAAAUGUUCUAAAGCAUCAGCGUCAAGAGAAUCACAACCCUCUGCAUCGAGAAACUGAAGGCUCAAUGGAAGUUCUUCCAGUGAUUUGAGUUUCUUGCAGUUAUUGAGGCAGAUAGUUACCAAUGAGGUAAGAUCUCUGAUGCUUGAUGGCAAUGUCUUAAAAUCAUGGCUGCUCAUAUCUAAAAAUGUCAACUUGGUGAAAUGACUAAGCUGAUCUGACAAUGACUUCACAUUCUUGCAGUUGUCAAGGCAAAGCUCAAGCAAACAAUAUAUGCUCGGAUCCUGAAUUGUAUCAGAGGGUUUCACCAAUGAUCUGAGGUUCCUACAGUUGGAAAGUGUGAGAGACUGCACCUGAGUUAGCGCUGGCAAUUCCUUGAGUUUGGUGCAGUUUCGAAGACAGAGAGUUUUCAGCCGGGAAAGUCUACUCAUAUCUUCUGGCCAGGUAUAUAUGGAAAACUGUGAAAGGUGGUGAUAGGUUGCCCGUUCUCUUUGUAGCUGAACCUCCUGAUAUUGAGCGAAGUAGAU